rnacentral:lncRNA from 1 species
GGCCAAUGCCUGUGCCAUCCCUGUCCUGCAGCUCUGUGUCAUCCCUGUACUACAGCCCUGUGUCAUCCCCAUACUACAGCCCUGUGUCAUCCACGUACUGCAGCUCUGCAGUCCUUCAGCUCUGCAGUCACCUCUGGUCUUUGUCAUCGUGUGAAUGCAUACAUUCGAAGGGGAUGGGCCACCACUUAUACAGAUGAAUGAAUUACCAGUAAGUGGCUCACAUACGUGUGUAAACUCUCGAUGAAGGAACAGACCAUUGCCAGGAACAUACCAGGACACUCCAGGGUCUCUACCCACCACUGAUCCAUCUCCCAAGGAGACAAUAAGCACAGGUGAAUUUUGCUUUGUUCACUGUUGUAUUUGUCAGACAUG